GAUGAACGCUGGCGGUCUGCUUAACACAUGCAAGUCGAACGGAGUACUUCGGUACUUAGUGGCGGACGGGUGAGUAACGCGUGAGGAUCUGCCCUCAGGAGGGGGACAACGACUGGAAACGGUCGCUAAUACCCCAUAUGCCGAGAGGUGAAAUGUUUUUUCGCCUGAGGAUGAGCUCGCGUCAGAUUAGCUAGUUGGUGGGGUAACGGCCUACCAAGGCGACGAUCUGUAGCUGGUCUGAGAGGAUGAUCAGCCACACUGGGACUGAGACACGGCCCAGACUCCUACGGGAGGCAGCAGUGGGGAAUUUUCCGCAAUGGGCGAAAGCCUGACGGAGCAAGACCGCGUGAGGGAUGACGGCCUAAUGGUUGUAAACCUCUUUUCUCUGGGAAGAUAAUGACGGUACCAGAGGAAUAAGCCUCGGCUAACUCCGUGCCAGCAGCCGCGGUAAUACGGAGGAGGCAAGCGUUAUCCGGAAUUAUUGGGCGUAAAGCGUCCGUAGGUGGUUAAUCAAGUCAGCUGUUAAAGAGCGGAGCUCAACUCCGUUAGAGCGGUUGAAACUGAUUGACUAGAGUUUGGUAGGGGUCGAGGGAAUUCCCAGUGUAGCGGUGAAAUGCGUAGAUAUUGGGAAGAACACCGGUGGCGAAAGCGCUCGACUGGGCCUGAACUGACACUGAGGGACGAAAGCUAGGGGAGCGAAAGGGAUUAGAUACCCCUGUAGUCCUAGCCGUAAACGAUGGAUACUAGGUGUUGCUCGU
rnacentral:rRNA from 1 species